AUUGAACGCUGGCGGCAGGCCUAACACAUGCAAGUCGAACGAGUGGCGGACGGGUGAGUAAUGUCUGGGAAACUGCCUGAUGGAGGGGGAUAACUACUGGAAACGGUAGCUAAUACCGUAUACCAUCAGAAGUGCCUAGAUGGGAGUGGCUAGUGGUGGGGGUAACGGCUACCCAAGGCGACGAUCCCUAGCUGGUCUGAGAGGAUGACCAGCCACACUGGAACUGAGACACGGUCCAGACUCCUACGGGCGGCAGCAGUGGGGAAUAUUGCACAAUGGGCGCAAGCCUGAUGCAGCCAUGCCGCGUGUAUGAAGAAGGCCUUCGGGUUGUAAAGUACUUUCAGCGGGGAGGCGUUACCCGCAGAAGAAGCACCGGCUAACUCCGUGCCAGCAGCCGCGGUAAUUC
rnacentral:rRNA from 1 species